rnacentral:rRNA from 1 species
CUAUACUAUUCAGAGUUUGAUCCUGGCUCAGGAUGAACGCUAGCUACAGGCUUAACACAUGCAAGUCGCGGGGCAGCAUGAGGGUUGCUUGCAAUUCUUGAUGGCGACCGGCGUACGGGUGAGUAACGCGUAUCCAACCUGCCCAUCACUACGGGAUAACCCGUUGAAAGGCGGACUAAUACCGUAUGAUAUCGUCUGAUGGCAUCAGAUGACGAUUAAAGGUUUGGCGGUGAUGGAUGGGGAUGCGUCUGAUUAGGUAGUUGGUAAGGUAACGGCUUACCAAGCCUUCGAUCAGUAGGGGUUCUGAGAGGAAGGUCCCCCACAUUGGAACUGAGACACGGUCCAA